AUCAUUAGCUUUUCUUGGGAUCUCAAAGGACCCUGUGCAGCAGGCCACUAUUUGAAUGUGUGUUGCUCCUUGUGGCAGGUAUACUGUUCCAAUGCCCUGGGAUCUCUGUAGUGGUCGGUACUGUAUUGAUUAUAAAUGGUGAAGUCCUAGUAUCUUGCUAGAGUGAGCUGGCCAGGAUGGUGGAGCUCUACCACCAUUUCACAGGUUAUAGACAGGGGCCACCAGGUUUCAGGAAAGCAGCAAUGACCCCUCAGUAAUAGUUGGAAAGUGUGAUAUGACACUGAGCUUCACUGUGUUGGUGAAGAAGAGCUGCAGUUUGCCUCCACCUCUGAAGAAGCACAAUACACCUUUCUGGGUUACCAAUGGGAUACUUCCCAACAGCUUUGUCAUCACAUACAAUAUUCUCAAACAAGAUCUUAAUGGCAUCUACUUUCUCCAGGAACACAGCCCCUGACCUGUGUGUGUUUGCGUAGAGAAGGCAUGCUAUGUACCCCCUAGGAUAUCAAGAUUCCUGUAGCAGAUUGAGCUCUGGCAGUUGAUCUCAGUGGCUUGAUAGAGUGUCAUUAUAAAAACGCACCUGGAAGAUUCUGUGGAAAAGACAACCUCAGAAGACCAAGAGGCUGACUUUGCAAGAGAGAGUCCGUUUACCACUUAGAACCGUGAACACCACCCCCGCCCUCAUUUAUCUCCAGACUUGAACUAGUGGUUAAAUCCCAACAUGUCCCAGAGAAGUCAAAAGCAUUGUAAAAUCUGGGAAUCUGCCCACCACUCAAGCCUGGGAAAGCUGGCAGAGGAUGCACGUGUUUUACUCACCUGAGUGUUUACAAUGCUCGUGAGGUGCCUCCCUGAUAUUUUUAUAGCAGAAUGGAGAAACACAACCAAGGAGAUACACCUAAGUAACAACAGCAAUGAUGUCAAAAAGAGUGCCUGAAUACUUAGGGUGGAGGUCCUGGACAUGCAAACCCAAGCUUCCUCUUUGCUGUGGCCAGGAAUCUGCAGUGAUUGAGAGCACAGACUGUAUCUAAAAUUCCACCUUUCAAAGUUCAGCAUAUUACUUUUUUUUUUCUUACACCUAUAAGUACAGAGGAAUGAAGAAGGAAUAAACAGACCUUCUGGAUAAUUGCAUCAGCCUUCCCCACUAUUCCAAUGCCAUGCUAACAUUUCAAGUAAUGUCCCUUUUGUCUUGCUGAGAAAAAAUCAUUUCAUGAUUUAUUACACUGGAUUAAAGGCUAUGCACACUCUGGAGUUGGAACAUGACUGAAGGGCAAGCAAGCAUAAAGGAUAUCAGAAACAGUUGAUGUGUUUAAAUUUUUCUGAAUUUCUCAAGUAAACUUUUUAGAAAGUAGUCUGAAGAUAAAAUGGUUAUAUAAGUUACUUAAACUGUAGAUGAUGGCACCUUUAUCCCUAUAUAAUAAAAUUAAGAUUUGUAGGUUAAACCUUGGAUAUUCCCAUCUGAGCAUCUGUACCAAACAGAAAAGACCUGUGUGAGUUCCUGAGAACCAGUGCUCAUUCCAGAAGAGACAGGUUUCUCUCCAGGAAGAAAUGUCUGAAAUUCAGUGAAUUAAAAUCCUCAUUGAGUCUUCCU
ensembl:lncRNA LINC00616 long intergenic non-protein coding RNA 616